GAUGAACGCUGGCGGCGUGCCUAAUACAUGCAAGUCGAGCGAACAGACGAGGAGCUUGCUCCUCUGACGUUAGCGGCGGACGGGUGAGUAACACGUGGAUAACCUACCUAUAAGACUGGGAUAACUUCGGGAAACCGGAGCUAAUACCGGAUAAUAUAUUGAACCGCAUGGUUCAAUAGUGAAAGACGGUUUUGCUGUCACUUAUAGAUGGAUCCGCGCCGCAUUAGCUAGUUGGUAAGGUAACGGCUUACCAAGGCAACGAUGCGUAGCCGACCUGAGAGGGUGGUCGGCCACACUGGAACUGGGACACGGUCCAGACUCCUACGGGAGGCAGCAGUAGGGAAUCUUCCGCAAUAGGCGAAAGCCUGACGGAGCGACGCCACGUGAGUGAUGAAGGUCUUCGGAUCGUAAAACUCUGUUAUUAGGGAAGAACAAAUGUGUAAGUAACUAUACACGUCUUGACGGUACCUAAUCAGAAAGCCACGGCUAACUACGUG
rnacentral:rRNA from 1 species